UGGGUACCCGAAGCGAAAGUGUUUUUCGUAUGCGGAAUCCGGGAAAAUCAUGAAUAUUAAUGAGGGCAUAGACGGAGAUUAUCCAAUCACGUUGGUUAAAUCCCUGAUCCAAUCUGAAAAGGCCAAAAUCGGUCACAUGACUGCACCGUCGGCGCGAUCCAUUAAAGAAGGGUGCGAUCGACUGAUCGCAUAUAAGUUGAUACAAACUGCAAGGUGUGUCAGAUAGACUCUGAGGUGAUCUUCACGGCACCAGAAACGCAGAAACGAUUCGGACGGAAAGGUUUGUCAGACAGACCCCUAGCUGAGGUGAUCUUCACAACACCAUAAAUGAGGACAGCUGUGACACAGAGGACAUAGCAGAUGUGUGAUCACGCAAUUGUCCAGGACAACCUGUCCAAUUAUCCAGUGCUGAAGAACCUUUUGCCAGAGGACUACAGCCAUCACGUGUGCUCCUUUGAGUCACAGGCGGACCAAAACCAUUUCAGGACUAACCUGAAGUUAAGGUUGACCCGGGAGGAGGAGGUGCAGAAGUGGCAGGAGGAUUUCCAGGCGUCCUCAGGCUUAACGUGGCGAAAGUCAAAGACCUAUCCAGAUGCUGGUGAUGGCUCUAACAAGUACAGGGUUGACUUGAGGUGCCACCACAACACCCGCACCAGUACUGCCAAGACUAGCAAAAACACCUCCUGCCCUGCAUUUAUGUACCUGAUUCUGAAAAGACAGACGUAUAGUAAAGGGCGGAAGUCAAGGUCUGAAGACCCCCACAUCAAGGAGGGGUACUACUUCCAUGUUGUUGUGAAAAACAGCCACAACCACUGUGUGCCCUUUGCGGCAGUCUCGGCUAAGAGAGAUGUCUCAAAAGAGACCGAAGGAAAAACUGAAGAAACUCUUUGAAAGUGGAAUCUCAUGUGAGUUUUCGGAGCAGUCAUCAUUGUCAUGUUUUUCCGUUUGUGUAUUUGUGUUUGUAUCUAUUUUUGGUCAGUCUGUCUCUUGUUAGGUAACGGAGGCAUCAAACAAAAGCAAAUCUACGUCAACUAAACUAGACAAUAAACCCUCCUUCAGGUGGAGGGGAUGCCCAAACUGAGUUCUGUGAGGACUUUCCUCCAGAUGACACAUGAGUCAAUAUCACUAUGAAGUGCCUUUGGUGUCCUCAUCAGACUCACUCAGUCAUCAUGAAAAUGUAGCAGAAUAAUGAAAGUCUGAGGUCUUAUUAUAAGUGGCCAAACAUUUGCACACAUAUCAGUACAAUGAUAAGUCUCUUAAAAUGUGUUUCCUUCAUUUUAUACAUAUUUUUUUCAUUUGAUGUACUUGAUUUUGGCAUGUCCCACACACUGCUCUGCUAACUACAAUGUGUGUAAUAAGUGGUUAAAUGAUACUAAAUAAAAAAAGAAUUUACAUGGUUUUAUUGUCCACGAUAAGUUAUUUGAUAAAACAAGUCAUUUUGAUCAUGUAUAUUCUAUUUUCAUAAUCAUAUUGAACAUUUUGCAUGUGUCCCUGAGAAUUGCUGUCCACCCUGUCAUUAUGGGGUAACUGCCCCUUAAAGAAACCCACUGAUGUUUUCAAUGACAUCACUACAAGCAUUUUGUCUUUCUUCAAUGGAGGCUGAAGCAGUGGCUAGUUGCAGAGAAUGAGAUCGAAAGGAGCUGAGAUAGCAAGGAGAUAUCGGGAACGUCGUGAUGCUGACCCAGACAGAAAAAGAAAGUACCUUGAGAAAGAAAGGGACAAAUGGAAAAAAGACAGAGAGACUGGAAAGAAGAAAGGUAUCAAUGAGCUCAGUGAGAGAGAAAAGAGGGCAAAAAGAAAGAAAUGGAGAGCGGCAAAAAGUCAAGCCAGAGCCAGAAACAAGCCCAGUGCUUUGCCUCAGUCAGAGACACCACCCAGCUCCCCUGCUGAAACUCCUGAAAAUCUACAUGAGCCAGGGCCCUCCAGGCAACGGCGUCAAGGGGAAAGCAUUCAAAGGAGUGCGAAGAGAAAACUUUUAAAUUCGGCGCACUAUGCAGGCACAUCUGUACUUGAGGACGAGCUGGCACGUGUUUUCAAGUCACUCACACUCAAGCUGAGAGGUGACCCCGACUUCAUAGACCCUCUGACAUCAUUCAUCGCGUCCUAUGACAAAAUGACCACGGACAGUGCACUACGAUCAGCCUUUUCAAUAUUUGGGAAUAGCCCAAUGGCCAAGACCACUGUAUACCAAAGGCCGAAGGGGUUUCUCCAGACGACAGCAGUUGGGAGGAGGAAGGCGUGUCUGGGAGGUCCUUUCCACCAGGACGACCCUCAAAGGCUUGCAGGGAGGACCACCCCUAUAAGAGGACGGGGAGGAGGCCAGCUGCUCCUCACGGCUUGGCUCACUGUGUGGAAGCCGAUAUGUCCCUAGGUGGAACACACUAAUGCCAUUGGUAGUCAGUAUUUUCAUAGACUAAUUUUUUCUUCUUCUAAAAUAUGUUUUGUUCUGUGAAUGUGCUACAUGACUGAACUCCAACCACCGUACGUUAAUAAAAAAAUGCUAUUUUUUUCUACCCUGGUACCCAUGAUUUUGAUGCAGAAGUUGGACUGUGUAGGCAUGUUCUAUACAUAUCAAUGGUGUAGGCUACUAGUUUGGCUGAUCCGACAUAUUAUCCAGUUUUGCAAUGCUGUACGGGUUGAUCUGAUC